GAUGAACGCUGGCGGCGUGCCUAAUACAUGCAAGUCGAGCGAACAGAUAAGGAGCUUGCUCCUUUGAAGUUAGCGGCGGACGGGUGAGUAACACGUGGGUAACCUACCUAUAAGACUGGGAUAACUUCGGGAAACCGGAGCUAAUACCGGAUAACAUUUAGAACCGCAUGGUUCUAAAGUGAAAGAUGGUUUCGCCAUCACUUAUAGAUGGACCCGCGCCGUAUUAGCUAGUUGGUAAGGUAACGGCUUACCAAGGCGACGAUACGUAGCCGACCUGAGAGGGUGUUCGGCCACACUGGAACUGAGACACGGUCCAGACUCCUACGGGAGGCAGCAGUAGGGAAUCUUCCGCAAUGGGCGAAAGCCUGACGGAGCAACGCCGCGUGAGUGAUGAAGGGUUUCGGCUCGUAAAACUCUGUUAUUAGGGAAGAACAAAUGUGUAAGUAACUGUGCACAUCUUGACGGUACCUAAUCAGAAAGCCACGGCUAACUACGUGCCAGCCGCCGCAGUAA
rnacentral:rRNA from 1 species